rnacentral:rRNA from 1 species
UGGCGGACGGGUGAGUAAUGUCUGGGAAACUGCCUGAUGGAGGGGGAUAACUACUGGAAACGGUAGCUAAUACCGCAUAACGUCGCAAGACCAAAGAGGGGGACCUUCGGGCCUCUUGCCAUCGGAUGUGCCCAGAUGGGAUUAGCUAGUAGGUGGGGUAACGGCUCACCUAGGCGACGAUCCCUAGCUGGCUGAGAGGAUGACAGCCACACUGGAACUGAGACACGGUCCAG